rnacentral:rRNA from 1 species
AGAGUUUGAUCCUGGCUCAGAAUCAACGCUGGCGGCGCGCUUAACACAUGCAAGUCGCACGAGAAAGGGAGCAAUCCUGAGUAAAGUGGCGUACGGGUGAGUAACACGUGGAUCAUCUACCUUUUAGUGGGGAAUACCCCCGGGAAACUGGGGACAAUACCGCAUAAGCCUGUGAAGGGAAAGCAGCAAUGCGCUGAAAGAGGAGUCCGCGGCUGAUUAGCUAGUUGGUGAGGUAAUGGCUCACCAAGGCGAAGAUCGGUAGCCGGCCUGAGAGGGCACACGGCCACACUGGCACUGAAAUACGGGCCAGACUCCUACGGGAGGCAGCAGUGGGGAAUCUUGCACAAUGGAGGAAACUCUGAUGCAGCGACGCCGCGUGAGCGAUGAAGCCCUUCGGGGUGUAAAGCUCUUUCGACGGGAACGAUAAUGACGGUACCCGAAGAAGAAGCUGCGGCUAACUACGUGCCAGCAGCCGCGGUAAUACGUAGGCAGCAAGCGUUGUUCGGAAUUACUGGGCGUAAAGAGUGUGUAGGCGGUGCUCUAAGUCUGUUGUGAAAUCUCCCGGCUUAACCGGGAGGGUGCGGCGGAAACUGGAGUGCUUGAGUAUGGGAGAGGUAAGCGGAAUUCCUGGUGUAGCGGUGAAAUGCGUAGAUAUCAGGAGGAACACCUGGUGUAGACAGCUUACUGGACCAUCACUGACGCUGAGACACGAAAGCGUGGGUAGCAAACAGGAUUAGAUACCCNNGUAGUCC